rnacentral:rRNA from 1 species
CAGCGCCGCGGUAAUACGGAGGGGGCUAGCGUUGUUCGGAAUUACUGGGCGUAAAGCGCACGUAGGCGGCUUGGUAAGUUAGAGGUGAAAGCCUGGAGCUCAACUCCAGAAUUGCCUUUAAGACUGCCGAGCUAGCAGGUGAGAGAGGUAAGUGGAAUUCCGAGUGUAGAGGUGAAAUUCGUAGAUAUUCGGAAGAACACCAGUGGCGAAGGCGGCUUACUGGCUCAUACUGGACGCUGAGGUGCGAAAGCGUGGGGAGCAAACAGGAUUAGAUACCCCAGUAGUCCCUGUCUCUUAUACA